AUCUCGGGUGAUGGCACGUUGAAUGCACCAGUUCCGAUAGAUCACUGAAGUUAAACAACGUUGCCCGUGGUUAGUGACAUGGUACCUACCAAACUAACACAGAAUGGUGAGUAGUCUUUAGGAGACCCAAUAUU
rnacentral:rRNA from 1 species